AUCCAGCUGACGAGUCCCAAAUAGGACGAAGCGCGCGUCCUGGAU
rfam:Schistosoma rodhaini strain Burundi genome assembly, scaffold: SROB_scaffold0001183